CGUAAAGGGUGCGCACGCGGAUAAUUAAGUUAGUAGUGAAAGCCCCGGGCUCAACCUGGGAAUUGCUAUUAAGACUGGUUAUCUAGAGUAUGUCAGAGGGGGGUAGAAUUCCAAGUGUAGCAGUGAAAUGCGUAGAGAUUUGGAGGAAUACCAAUGGCGAAGGCAGCCCCCUGGGAUAAUACUGACGCUCAGGCACGAAAGCGUGGGUAGCAAACAGGAUUAGAUACCCUGGUAGUCCACGCCCUAAACGAUGUCUACUUGCUGUUGGGGGUAACCUUAGUAGCGAAGCUAACGCGAGAAGUAGACCGCCUGGGGAGUACGGUCGCAAGAUUAAAACUCAGAGGAAUUGACGGGGCCCCGCACAAGCAGCGGAGCAUGCGGCUUAAUUCGACGCAACGCGAAGAACCUUACCAGGGCUUGACAUCUACAGGAAUAUGGCAGAGAUGUCAUAGCCGCAAGGUCUGUAUACAGGUGGUGCAUGGUUGUCGUCAGCUCGUGUCGUGAGAUGUUGGGUUAAGUCCCGCAACGAGCGCAACCCUCGUUCUGUGUUGCCAGCAUUAAGUUGGGGACUCACAGGAGACUGCCGGGGUUAACUCGGAGGAAGGUGGGGAUGACGUCAAAUCAUCAUGCCCCUUAUGUCUUGGGCUGCACGCAUGCUACAAUGGCUGGUACAAACGGCUGCGAUACCGCAAGGUGGAGCGAAUCCGAUAAAGCCAGUCUCAGUUCGGAUUGGGGUCUGCAACUCGACCCCAUGAAGUCGGAGUUGCUA
rnacentral:rRNA from 1 species